UACGAAGGGGGCUAGCGUUGCUCGGAAUCACUGGGCGUAAAGGGUGCGUAGGCGGGUCUUUAAGUCAGGGGUGAAAUCCUGGAGCUCAACUCCAGAACUGCCUUUGAUACUGAGGAUCUUGAGUUCGGGAGAGGUGAGUGGAACUGCGAGUGUAGAGGUGAAAUUCGUAGAUAUUCGCAAGAACACCAGUGGCGAAGGCGGCUCACUGGCCCGAUACUGACGCUGAGGCACGAAAGCGUGGGGAGCAAACAGGGAUUAAGAACCCUGG
rnacentral:rRNA from 1 species